rnacentral:rRNA from 1 species
UACGUAGGGGGCAAGCGUUGUCCGGAUUUAUUGGGCGUAAAGAGCGUGUAGGCGGCCAUGUAGGUCCGUUGUGAAAACUCGAGGCUCAACCUCGAGACGCCGAUGGAAACCAUGUGGCUAAAGUCCGGAAGAGGAGAGUGGAAUUCCUGGUGUAGCGGUGAAAUGCGCAGAUAUCAGGAAGAACACCCGUGGCUAAGGCGGCUCUCUAGUACGGUACUGACGCUGAGACGCGAAAGCGUGGGGAGCGAACAGG